UUGAAAAUAAUGCUUACUAUAAUAAAUAUACAUAAAUAUACAUAGUCUCUAGUAUGUGCACUUUGCUUGGUAAUUGACAUAUUUUAUCAAGUCAAUUCAUCUUCACUAUGGGUCUACCAAGUAUCAUUAUUCCCACUAAAUAGAUAAGGGAAUGAAGGCCCAGAGAGUUUAAUUGCCAAAAAUGUGUAGCUAGUGACAGAGCAGGGAUCUAAAGUUAAGUCUCUCUGACUCCAAAGCCCAUACUGUCUUCAUUACUUUACUAAUUUUCAACCAAUUUUGUGAAGCCAGUUCUGCAGAAGUGCCCAGGACCACCAACAGGAGAUUAAGCAGCAGACAAAUGGGUAGGCACCAGCCAAUCCACGUUUCCAUCUGGGCAUCUCUGCUUUUGUCUGUUUUAUGUAUUGGGCUCCUAUGAAGGAUACUCUUUGAUAAAAGGAUCCUGCUGUUAAAAACAAUUUGAAAACCAUUGUAAUGAGCUGAACUAUAGUAAUGUUUGUCCAUUUGUUACAUACAAAAAUGACAUUGGUUUUUUUUACGGUUAAAUCUAAUACCACACCAUGUCAGUGUUAGGGCUGGAAGCGGCCUUGGAAGUUAUUAUUAGUUAGAAGUCCUGGUUGAAUUUCACAGAUGGUCACACAGGUCCAGAGAAGAAGCCCAGCCUCUAUGAGCUAUUCAUGACGUGCUUGCUGAAUUCAGUGGCUGCUCCAGAAUUUCAACAGGGGAGGAGCUGCAGGGAAGCAAUCCAGGUGGAAGAGGGGUCUUAAGGCCACGUCUACAAAGCACUGUACUGGAGACUGAGAAAACCUCAACUGACCAUUUUAAAGAGGGAAUGAGGGCAAUGCUGAUGGAGAAAACUGGGCAGCUCUGACCUUCAGAGGAGGCACAGCUUAGCAGGGGAGAGGCCUGAGGGACUGGGAUAUGCCCAGGGGGAUCUAUUUUGGAACAGAAGUGAGACUGGCCUCUGUUGGAGGACUGGAAUGGGGUGUUUAGAGCACUUUGAGGAAAAGCUGUGUUCCUAGGGUGGCCAGACAAUGGAAAGCUUCUAAUGAUUGAGCCUGCAAACCCAAGAGGCAAAAGAACUCUCUGGAGCACAGCCAGAUUGUUCCUUCCCCAGGAAAAAUGCUGGGCUCCUGAAGAACAUCUGGAGACAUCCCAGUCACUGAGACCAGUGGGAAAUCAGAGCGACAGAGACAGCCUUUGGUCCAGCCCACAGAAAAACUGUAAAGUCACGUCACCAGAGCAUGCACAAAAGAAGACUCUUGACCUGAAAUGACUGUGGAACUGAAGAUCCUCCUUUGCAUGGAACCCAAGGACCAGGACACGACCGGAACUUGAAAUGCUUCAGGCCCCAAGGCGUUUUUUCUUUUGGAAGAAGAAAACAGCUCCAGGAUCAGACGUCUUUUGGGUGAGUGGCCUUGUUAAAACAUAACUGCCUAAAAUUGUCUAACAGCUCAUCGGAAUUGUGGGUUAGAGGCCCCAGUGGACAGAUUUUGCUGGGUUAAAGACCCAAGGCUAGAAUUGUGGGUUCAAGGGAGACAGUAUAAAAGGGUUGCAGCCACUGGGGCACUACACUCAAAGGAUCAGGUUAAAGGCCUGAACUCUGGGAUAGGGUCCCAAAGUACCCUGGGUUGGACUUCCAGAGUAUUGGAUUUCCAUGUCUGCUCAUGUUUGUCGAUGUUUGACUGUGUUACUUGUUAAAAUGGGCUGCUUGGGGACUGAAUUUCUUUGAUGACCAUAACAAACUGCCUUUUAGGUUAAUCUCGUGAGGGUUAUCUGACUAGGAAGAAAAGAGGCACUGCUCCCUCCAGCCGUUCAGGACAUCCCCAGGUGAUGGGGGAUUUCAUGGAGGUGUUGGGGCGUCUGCCUGUGAUGUGCAAUGACUUCACAGGGGCUCCUCCUGAAGAACAUGUCUCGUUGGGCCCCCGUUGUUCAUGGUGAGGCAAUCGGGCAGAGCAGCUCGUCCGGGGCUCAAAUCACCCGAGCAUUUUGGGUACCAGAACACGUAACGGAAAAAGCCCCCCACUUGGUUAUUCUUGAGGCAGCUGUUCCCACAAGCACAGUAUCAAACCUUAAAACCUUUCCCUAGAAAGACCUUGUUUGUUGUGGCCACCUUGAUAAAAGCCACCUUAAAAUGGGAAAUAAAAAUAGUAUCCCAGAAAGUAGCCCACUAGGACACAUUCUUCAAAAUUGGGCAAGGUUCGAUUACAACCCCAUGAAGAAAAAGAAAAUGAUUUUCUUUUGUGAUACAAGCUGGCUCCAAUACUCACUGGGGUCAGAUGAGGUAUAGUCUCAGAACGGGUCACUCAUUGCAAUUAGACCUAUUCUGUAAAAGAGAAAAGAAAUGGGUUGAGAUCCCUUAUGUGCAAUCUUUUUUUGUCUUUAUAUCAGAAUAAGAAUUUGGAAACAAAUGUAAAAUCAUGAUUCAGAGGGAGGAUCCACAGAAAAUGCCUGUUCUCCCAGAAUCAAAGUCAGAUGAUGACCUUGUCUCCACUGUAUGCCACAGGACUCAAAGGAUCCAUUUCAUGAAGCACUGCCUCAUCAUACAUCCAACUGCUAAUGGGUCUGAGGAUGCCUCUUUACAGGAUGCCAAGAGAAUCUGAGACCCUUCUCAGAAUCUUCUCACUCUUCUGCCUCAUCAACCAUGCCCACAUCAAAAGAACUUCCUUGAAGAUUAAAGUUUCUUAAGUUUGCGGAUGAGUUUCAUAUAUUAAUUUGGCUGCUUCCUGGUAAUAAAGAGAAUGCCCCUGUAACUCCCCUGUGAGGCAUCUUCAAAUUGGACUGCAGGCAUGAGCAACCCUGAGAAGGAUUCCUCUGGAGAGCUAAUUCCACUUCUGGUGUAUAAAUUCAUGUCUGCUUCAACCACCCAAGUGGCGCUUCUCUGAACUGAGUGUGUUUUCCUAGCCUUAUCUUUGUUUUUCCACUUCUUGGUCCCUUUAGGCUGGGACCAAGAAGUGGAUAAAAUGGUGGGAGGAGAGUGGAGUCAAAUUGGAAGUGAGGUGGUGCGGGGUGGAGAGAAGGCAUAAAGAACAAUGUACACGGAUCCGUGGAGUUGUGACAUGGACGUAUGCAUGGGCAACUGAGAAGGUUAGAGGGGCAGGGUGUCAGGCAUGGUGAGGGAAGUGAUGUGAUGUGAGAUAAUAGAAAGGAAAAUUGGAGUCUGCAGGAAAUUCCUCAUUGUUGGUUUUAUGCGUGUUGGCAUGACUAUGAGAUAUCUGGGGUCACAGUAGACACAAGAAAGAUGGAGGAGGAAAGAAGAUGUGGUCUGCUAAUAAUUCCAAUAAUUCAUUCCUCAACCUUUCACUUAGUGAUAGUAUGCUGUCAUUUGACAACUUAUUUACAUGCUAGGGAAAUAAUGGUUCAUCUAGGAAGCUAAUAAUGAUCAGUUAGCAUCAUGCUUCCUGGUAUUUGGUAGAGCGAGGGUAGGCAAGAGAAACCAAUUCUCAGUCCCCAUUCAAGUUUUGCCAAUAAUCCCAAUAAUGUCCUUUAUAACAAAAGGAUGCAGUUCCAGAAUUACUCAUUGCAUUUAGUUGUCAUAUCUCUUAAAUCAUGUAGAAAACAAAAAGUGCAGUUAUAAACCUCUGAUACAAUAAUACCAGCUCUUAUAAUUGUCCAUGUGUGUACUUUUGUUGAGAUUUUUAUUUCUCCAUACAGCUUUGAGUUACUGUCUAGUGACCUUUCAUUUCACCUAGCAGGAUUCCCUUGAGCGUUUUUUUGCAGAGUAGGUCUAGUGUUCACGAACUCCCUCAGCUUUUGUUUAUCUGGGAAUGUUUUAAUUUCACCCUUACUUUUGAAGGACGGUUUUGUCAGAUAUAGGAUUCUUGGUUGACAAGUGUUUUCUUUUAGCACUUUGAAUAUAUUGGCCCACUGUCUUCUAGCCUCCGAAGUUUCUGAUAAGAAAUCUUCUGAUGAUCUUAUUGAUGAUCCCUUGUAUGUGUGUCCUUUCUCUCUUGCUACUUUCAAGAUUCUCUCUUUGUCUUUUGAAAAGUUGGAUGAUAACAUGUCUCUGGAUGAGUGUCUUUGAGUUCACCUUACUUGGAGUUCAUUGAACUCCUUGGAUGUUUAUAAUCUUAUCUUUCAUCAAAUAUGGGAUGUUUUCAGCCAUUAUUUCUUCAAAUAUUCUCUCUGUCUCUUUCUCUCUCUUCUUCUAAGACUUCCAUGAUCCAUAUGUUAGUCUGCUUGUUGAUGCCCCACAGUUCCUUUAGGUUCUGUUCACUUUUCUUCAAUCUUUUUUUUUUCCUGUUCCUCAGACUUGAUAAUUUCCAUUAUCUUAUCUUGAAGUUCAUGGAUCCUUUCUUUUGCCUGCUCAAAUCUGUUUUUGAAUCCCUCUGGUCAAUUUUCAUUUCAGUUAUUGUACUUUUCAGCUCCAGGAUUUUUAUUUUGGUUUCUUUUUAGGUUUUCUACCUCUUUAUUGAUAUUUCCAUUUC